rnacentral:misc_RNA from 1 species
AAGCUUCAAAGACUCCGUUUCCUGCGUCUCAACAACAACACCUUGUCAGGAACGAUUCCUAUGAAUUUGACUACCAUUGGAACCUUGCAAGUCCUGGAUCUUUCAAACAACAGACUUACAGGAGAUAUUCCUGUCAAUGGCUCCUUUUCUUUGUUCACUCCCAUCAGUUUUAACAAUAAUCUAUUUAACAAGCUUCCAGUUUCCCCUCCUCCUCCAUUGACUCCAUCGACGCCUUCUCCUUCUAGUGGUAACAGUGCUACCGGCGCUAUUGCUGGGGGGGUUGCUGCUGGAGCUGCUCUGCUGUUUGC